UGCAGGAUAACCAAUUAGUCACUCUU
rnacentral:piRNA from 1 species